CUCUUUUUGUGAUUUUAUCAUUAAUGGAUCCACCUCAUCAGUCAUCUCCAUGGUCCAUGAUCCAUCCAUCCCCUCUGCCCUUUACAUUCACCAUCCGCUCCCUUCUUCUCUUAUAUACAUACACAAUGAUGGAAGACAAGGUUUCCAAACCUAGUAUUUGUUCAUCUUAUAUUAUUCAUAUUAUUAUAAUAAAACUAUGAAAUUUUAUCAAAUACCCCUACAGUCUUUUUUAAUUGCAAACAUUACCCAUCAUAAAAAAACCAAAACCAAAAAUAAAGCGUGACAGACCUACAUAAGAGUAGAGCCCAUCCUCUCAUGAGUCAAGUGUCUUGUACUCGAUCUAGUCAUGGCGCAUCUCGUACACAAAGUGGACUAAACCCCCCUACCCUAUUAAAAUUGGAUCAAAAAAAAGGAAGGAAAAGACAAAAUAAAUAGAAAAAAAUAAACAUAAAAAUGUGAUCAGUGAUCACUUGCAUGAAUUGACCCACCGGCCACCAUGAAUGAUGGGUGGUACGGGUGGGUACCUAAAGGACAAAUUUCUCAUGGCUGAGGGGCAAAUGAGGAGAGGGAUGAACCUGCACGAUUCUUGAUUGAGUUGGAAGUUUGAAAAUUGGUCCCUCUUCCCCAACCCCAAGCCCACGCUUUUUAUAGAUUUAUUUUAUUUUUCACAUGGGAAAGUGAGGGUCGGCACUCGGUCUACACUCUACAAGGACGUUUCAUCCAUCCAUUUAUAGGAUGGGCGGCUGGGAAAUGGGGGUGUGUUCCUUUCGGUACUUAUAUAGCAAUAUGUUAUGUAAAAGCCCUUUCCUUUUAAUUUUUAUUGGUUUGUUGGGUUUGGAAAAGACUUGAAAGUGUUACAUGAUGGGCAUCACUCACUACCAAAAGUUGAUAGAUGGAUAUAAAAGCCUUAUGGGUUUUUGCUUCAGCUUUCCAUUCUUUUCUUUUUUUGAUUCAUUUCUGUUGCCUUCUUAUUUUUUGGGAAAUCAGAGGCUUUUCCACCACCCUUUAGGGCUUGUUGGAUUGUUUGUUAAGUUAUUAAAAAUAGAAAAUCUAGGAUUCACCAAACCCUGGUUCAGAGUCCUCACCAUUUC
rnacentral:lncRNA from 1 species